UACGUAGGGGGCAAGCGUUAUCCGGAAUUACUGGGUGUAAAGGGUGCGUAGGUGGUAUGGCAAGUCAGAAGUGAAAACCCAGGGCUUAACUCUGGGACUGCUUUUGAAACUGUCAGACUGGAGUGCAGGAGAGGCAAGCGGAAUUCCUAGUGUAGCGGUGAAAUGCGUAGAUAUUAGGAGGAACAUCAGUGGCGAAGGCGGCUUACUGGACUGAAACUGACACUGAGGCACGAAAGCGUGGGGAGCAAACAGG
rnacentral:rRNA from 1 species